UACGUAGGUGGCAAGCGAUACUCGGAAUCACUAGGCGUAAAGCGCAGGUAGGCGGUUUGAUAAGUCUGUUGUGAAAGCUCCCGGCUUAACUGGGAGAGGUCAACGGAAACUGUCAGGCUAGAGUGUGGUAGAGGUAGCUGGAAUUCCCGGUGUAGCGGUGAAAUGCGUAGAUAUCGUUUGGAACGCCAACGGUGAAAACAGACAGCUGGGAGUGUGCUGACGCUGAGACACGAAAGCCAGGGGAGCGAACGGG
rnacentral:rRNA from 1 species